rnacentral:rRNA from 1 species
AUUGAACGCUGGCGGAAUGCUUUACACAUGCAAGUCGAGCGGCAGCGCGGGGCAACCUGGCGGCGAGCGGCGAACGGGUGAGUAAUACAUCGGAACGUGCCCAGACGUGGGGGAUAACUACUCGAAAGAGUGGCUAAUACCGCAUACGAUCUAAGGAUGAAAGCGGGGGAUCGCAAGACCUCGCGCGUUUGGAGCGGCCGAUGGCAGAUUAGGUAGUUGGUGGGGUAAAGGCUUACCAAGCCCGCGAUCUGUAGCUGGUCUGAGAGGAUGAUCAGCCACACUGGGACUGAAACACGGUCCAGACUCCUACGGGAGGCAGCAGUGGGGAAUUUUGGACAAUGGGGGCAACCCUGAUCCAGCCAUGCCGCGUGAGUGAAGAAGGCCUUCGGGUUGUAAAGCUCUUUCAGACGGAAAGAAAACGCAUCGGUGAAUAACCCGGUGUGGAUGACGGUACCGUAAGAAGAAGCACCGGCUAACCUACGUGCCAGCAGCCGCGGUAAACU